rnacentral:rRNA from 1 species
CAGUCGCCGCGGUAAUACGUAGGUGGCAAGCGUUGUCCGGAAUUAUUGGGCGUAAAGCGCGCGCAGGUGGUUUAAUAAGUCUGAUGUGAAAGCCCACGGCUCAACCGUGGAGGGUCAUUGGAAACUGUUAAACUUGAGUGCAGGAGAGAAAAGUGGAAUUCCUAGUGUAGCGGUGAAAUGCGUAGAGGAUAGGAGGAACACCAGUGGCGAAGGCGGCUUUUUGGCCUGUAACUGACACUGAGGCGCGAAAGCGUGGGGAGCAAACAGGAUUAGAUACCCCGGUAGUCCCUGUCUCUUAUAC